rnacentral:rRNA from 1 species
UAGGGAAUCUUCGGCAAUGGGGGCAACCCUGACCGAGCAACGCCGCGUGAGUGAAGAAGGUUUUCGGAUCGUAAAGCUCUGUUGUAAGAGAAGAACGUGUGUGAGAGUGGAAAGUUCACACAGUGACGGUAACUUACCAGAAAGGGACGGCUAACUACGUGCCAGCAGCCGCGGUAAUACGUAGGUCCCGAGCGUUGUCCGGAUUUAUUGGGCGUAAAGCGAGCGCAGGCGGUUUAAUAAGUCUGAAGUUAAAGGCAGUGGCUUAACCAUUGUUCGCUUUGGAAACUGUUAAACUUGAGUGCAGAAGGCGAGAGUGGAAUUCCAUGUGUAGCGGUGAAAUGCGUAGAUAUAUGGAGGAACACCGGUGGCGAAAGCGGCUCUCUGGUCUGUAACUGACGCUGAGGCUCGAAAGCGUGGGGAGCAAACAGG